UUGCUCCAGAAUGUUUGCCUGGUGUUUUUCAUUUGGAACCUUCAUGCAUCAGAACCCUGACUACACACUCCAUGUCUAAUUCAUCUUCACCCAUAUAUUUUACCAUUACGGAUAGCCUUCCCCUUAAGCUUGUCUAUUUACUAGCUGGUGUGACAAAUGACAGCAACUCUGAGCCAUGUUAGAUGGUAUUUGUAUGGCUCUGAUGCCAGAAGCAUUCUAAGCGCCGGUGUUGCAUAUUUAUUGAUCUCCAUAUUCCCAAUAAUCUGAUGCCCGUCACAUUUGACAACAUUAUGUGGAGAGGUCAGCUAGAUGGGGCUAAUGAAACUGUUUCCAAGAUGGAUGUUGUUUUCCACAACAUUACCCUUGCAAAUAGCUGUCAGUGGGGCAUUUCACUGUCGGGCCAGGCAUUUGAGGACCUUUUUUUUUUUUUUUUAAAUAGUUGACGUUAACAUUAAACAAAACCUGAAGCUAUUAAAUCUUAGUAUUUAUAUACAAUAGAAAACAUGGACGCCCUGGCAUCUUUCCAAAUGAAAAUCUUAUUAACGGACAUGGCGCUUGUGGCAAAGUCCUCAGCAAUUGGAGGUUGGCUUGGCUGUCUAAAAUGUUUGACGGAUUAGCCCAAGAUGAUGUAAAGGACCAAAUGGGAAAUGGCUGAAGUCUGGAGGAUUAAACCGGCAAAUAGAAAGGCUUGCUGUAGUCUGGAGGCAUGCAGCACUUUCUGACUGUGUUUCCAGGCUUCCACGCUGCUGUGAGCAGCUGGCACAAAAUGCACUCCAAUUUAGAUAAAGCUUUACAGGAAAAAAGAAAGAAAGCCUACGAAACAGUAUUUGCAAAGAGGAUCCCAUUUAAUGAAAUGCUGCACGUGAAUUAAUAACAUUGGAAGUACAUUGGGAGCAGCAAUGAAAAUAUUAAAGACAGGUUUCCCACACCUGAAUUGAGCCCUUUGAAAGCCCUGCAAAGGGACAUUUAGAGACUUCCCACUGUCUGUCCUGAGAGUUACCAUGUUGGGUAGCGAUCCUGACAGCUCUUCUAAUGAGUCCAUCUUGGUUUAAUUCCAGGUGGAUACGUAUUGGUUAAAAAUUCAUUGAGUAGUUGUAAGCACCUAUGUGCCAAUGUGAUUUUUGAGAAACUUAUUGCCUAUCUUGGUAGGGCCACUGAGAAUUUUGGGUUCUUUAAGAAAAGCAUAGUACAACUUUAGUUUGAGAUGCAAGAUUUUACAAAGGCAGGUAUAUUUAAUGGGUUUCUUCAUGACAAUGUUCCUCUCUCAUCUCUAUCCCAGAGCAGACACAAACAAGGAUAUAUAAUGGAAUUAAUAACUUGGCUACUGGCUCAUCCAGAACUUUCUCAACAAUGAAUUCAUUUACCCAGUGCUAGCAUUUAGGAACAUUAAUUCACCACAUCGCUUACAGUCACAGAAAUUGAAGAACUUCUCAACUUGUUUAUUUUGUAGGGUUGAAGGAAGGAUGCCAGAGAAGAGAUGAUUAACUAUUGUGCCUUUUCUUUAGUGGAUCUCAGUACUUCUUUCCAUCAUGCCCUUUUUCAGGUUAUGCCUUUUGAAUUGUGUUGAAUGAAGAGGUGGAAAAGAAUUGACAAGUUCAAGAGCAGGGAAGUUCAUUGCUAGGCAGAUGCUCAUGUUCUUUUCAGAUGGAAAACUUGCUUCUCCUUCAUCCCCCCUCCUCCACUCUCAGCGAACAUGUGUACCGUUAAGAAAGCAUGUUCUCUCUUUGCUGAAACUCUAAAAAUGUGGAUGAGUCAUUUGAUUUCUCUGGCCUCAAUUUUCUCAUCUCCAAAAUCAUGUCAUUAACCUUGCUGGCCUCAGAGACGCCUGGCUGCUCCUCACAUUCUAUGAUUAUAGGGCAUAAACGUUUCCAAGUUCCUAAAUGUCUUUCCCUUAAGAAACGUGUGCAAAGACCUCUCCGGUCUUUGUGGUCAAAUGUAAAUUCCUCUUCUUUUCCUGAGUUUGAAUUCCUCCUCAACUGAAAAACUGAUUUGAAACAAAGUCUUGUGUGUAUUAUAGGCAUGGCUUCUGGAGCUG
ensembl:lncRNA